rnacentral:siRNA from 1 species
GGACAAGGGGAAUCCGACUGUU